AUCUAGUGCACAUCAAUUUUAAAUAGGUUAAACAUUAUACGGAGGAUCCAAAAAUUUCCAACGUGGUUCUUGCAGACCACGAUUAGGUAGCGGGGGACUAAUAAAUGUUACUUUGUUUCAAAAUACCAAAAAAUUUUCGAAAUUGUUUCCAAAUACUGUGAAGUUAAAAACAGGGCUUCAAAUAUUAUGAGUAGAGUAAAUUUUGUUUUAUUAAUGAGCGAUUAAUACUUGUGUAAGAUCGGAUCAUCCUUCAUUGAGCCUCAGUCACUUAAAGUUAAAUGUCCAGUGACGGCUACCUGAAACGGCUCUACGUAGUAAACAAAUAUGAAUGCCUUGUUUCACUAAAAAGAACAUUGCUCAGAUAUUUCUCUGGACUACCAAUUUCUGUACUUCAUGUGAUGCCUGUGUUGCAGCCCUCCCAAGAACCUCCCUUGUAGGUGUUCUAUGAUAAGAUUUCAAAGAUAAAGAGGAAAUGGUUCUAAUGAUAGAGAUUGUCCAUGUUGGUUUGUCUCAAUCUUUUGGAAAACAGUGUUGGAGAAAAUAUCAGCAACAAAUGAAGACUCUGAUCUAAUUUAUUACUAUGUGACUUGAAAGUUAUUUGAUUUUAUGGUAGUAUUUACACAUGUGUUGAACUUUCCAUACAUCGUUGAAAAAGAUCAUAUGAUGACAAUAAACAAAAAUACAUAUAUGAACUUUCCACAAGUUUCCAAUGAAGAACAUUUGGGAUCUUGGUAAAGGAUAUUAUAAUUAGAUUUUUUACUUAAUUUAUAUGUGUUCUUGUGCAGUGCAUUAAAUGCACAAAAUGUUUUUAAAUUAGUCUUUUGAAACCAGUGCUGAGAACACAGGUCUCAGAUAUCCUCUUACUGCAGUUAUAUUGUUAAGAUUGAAGUUUAUUUUAAAAAAAAUACCUUUAUUAUAUCUGUAAAGAAACUUUUAAAAAAAUUAGUCAAACUUGGAUAUGUGGGUUAACAUGUUAAAAGAAAUAUAAUAUU